GACGAACGCUGGCGGCGUGCUUAACACAUGCAAGUCGAACGGUAAGGCCCUUCGGGGUACACGAGUGGCGAACGGGUGAGUAACACGUGGGUGAUCUGCCCUGCACUUCGGGAUAAGCCUGGGAAACUGGGUCUAAUACCGGAUAAGACCACUGCCUGCAUGGGUGGUGGUGGAAAGCUUUUGCGGUGUGGGAUGGGCCCGCGGCCUAUCAGCUUGUUGGUGGGGUGAUGGCCUACCAAGGCGACGACGGGUAGCCGGCCUGAGAGGGUGACCGGCCACACUGGGACUGGGAUACGGCCCAGACUCCUACGGGAGGCAGCAGUGGGGAAUGUUGCACAAUGGGCGCAAGCCUGAUGCAGCGACACCGCGUGAGGGAUGACGGCCUUCGGGUUGUAAACCUCUUUCGGCACCGACGAAGCGCAAGUGACGGUAGGUGCAGAAGAAGGACCGGCCAACUACGUGCCAGCCGCCGCAGUAA
rnacentral:rRNA from 1 species